rnacentral:rRNA from 1 species
AUUGAACGCUGGCGGCAUGCCUUACACAUGCAAGUCGAACGGUAACAGGUCUUCGGAUGCUGACGAGUGGCGAACGGGUGAGUAAUGCAUCGGAACGUGCCCAGUAGUGGGGGAUAGCCCGGCGAAAGCCGGAUUAAUACCGCAUACGACCUGAGGGCGAAAGGGGGGGAUCGCAAGACCUCUCGCCAUUGGAGCGGCCGAUGACAGAUUAGCUAGUUGGUGGGGUAAGGGCCUACCAAGGCAACGAUCUUCAGCUGGGCUGAGAGGACGACCAGCCACACUGAGACGGAGCCACGGCCCAGACGCCUACGGGAGGCAGCAGUGGGGAAUUUUGGACAGUGGGCGCAAGCCUGAUCCAGCAAUGCCGCGUGCAGGAAGAAGGCCUUCGGGUUGUAAACUGCUUUUGUCAGGGAAGAAAUCUUCUGGGUUAAUACCUCGGGAGGAUGACGGUACCUGAAGAAUAAGCACCGGCUAACUACUUGCCAGCCGCCGCCGUAAUAC